UACAGGGGGGGCAAGCGUUGUUCGGAAUUACUGGGCGUAAAGUGUGCGCAGGCGGCUUCGCAAGUCGAGUGUGAAAUCCCCGAGCUUAACUUGGGAAUUGCGCUCGAAACUACGGAGCUGGAGUGUGGCAGAGGAAGGUGGAAUUCCACGUGUAGCGGUGAAAUGCGUAGAGAUCCGGAGGAACACCAAAGGCGAAGGCAGUGUCCUGGGGAGUACCUGACGCUCAGGUGCGAAAGCCAGGGGAGCGAACGGGG
rnacentral:rRNA from 1 species